AAACAUUUCAUGCUAUGCAGAGAAUGGAGAGGUUAACGCAACAGAACUACUGAAGACAUGUAACACAGAGAAUGGAGAGGUUAACGCAAUAGAACCACUGAAGACAUGUAACACAGUUCCAUCUAGUUCCAUAACCCUGACCAUUGGAAUGUUUUUUGUGGGCGUCUUUGUUGGUUGCUUCGGGUUAGUUGCUGGCUUGAUCGGCUACAAUAGGAUUAAACAGAAAUUUGAAGCCAUGCGAAGUACUGACACCAGAACGCAAAAUACUUACAUGCCAUACAUAGCAGAUACUGGCGAUGAGAACCAUACUUAUUAAGAUCUGCAGGAAGCAAAUGCAGAAACAGGUUACGUUAAUGCCAAGGUGGAAAUGUAUAAAAAGUGAACCCUUUGUCGAAAAGAGCUUGUUUGUUUUGAUACAGGAGUAUAACUUUAAUCUCUACAAACUGUAACGAUUUUUGCUAUGGUAACGUACCUCCAUGAUGUUUGAUUAUACAAAAUAUAUGAUUGAAAUAAUUCAACUGUGUAGCUCAUUAGUUUUAAGAAAUAUUAAUACUAGCAAAAGCAAAACAGAAUAAAUUGACAAGUGUACAUGUAUUACAAAUAUACUUGACAAUUGUAUUUUAAGUUUUUAAAGAUUUUAAUUAAAGGAUAUGGUUUUCGCGCUGUGCUUUUAGACUGCUACCAAAAAGAGUAAACAAUGAUUAAGAAACUGUAUGCAGCGGAAGCUUUUACUACGAAGGAAUAAGAAUUCCGAACUAAGCAAUGCGCAUGCGCAAUUACAAGAGAAAGUCUCCGAAUUAUCUCUAAAAUCAAAAUGAGCAUGCGCUGGGAAAUGCUAGACAGACAGUAAGUAAGUGAAGUUGUCGAGCAGUUACCAAAACGAGUUGUCAGAAACCAAAUGGUGUCUGCGAAGAGGGUGUGAAAUAGAAAUGAGAAAAAACUUUUUAAUGCAACAACUGAGCAUGCGCAACUCAAGCUAAAGCGAUCACGCAGACUUUGAAAAUAAUGAAAAUUCCGGUCGAAAAGCCUUGGCUAUCAAAGGCCUACAGAUGCGUAAUAAUAUAAUCGUCCAGGAAAAUUGUAAUUAAAUUAUCGCAAACAACAGUUUAAUGGGCUCUAUCGUCGUACGUAAGUAUGCAUUGACAAUCCGAUAAAAAAUAACCACAUAAAUUGAAGACACAACCUAGGCUAGGCCUCUUUAGGAUAGCCUUAGCUAGGGCCUACUAAAAAUAGCCACACAGAAACUGACAGCAGUAGGGCCUAAGCAUAUAUAGCUAGUGAAAAGGGUGGGGGGAGGUUAGCAAGUCUAUAGUUGAAGCAUAAAAAUCGGCGAUGAUGGAAUUUAUUUAUAAUAACUCCUCCAACCCAGCCAGCAGAAUAAUAAACAUAGUAAAACAUAUUUUUAAAAUUUAAAUAAAAUAUUAUUAUUAUUAUUAAAUUAUUAUUAUUACAUAUUAAUAAUAGUAGUAGUAGUAAUAAUAAUAAUAAUAAUAAUAAUAAUAAUAAAAAUAAUAAAUAUUAAUAACAGCAAUAAUGGUAAGAACACAAGUUAAAGUAAUUCUAUAUGUUAGGCCUACACCAAAUUAUAUAGGCCUAUUACACUGGUUUAUAAACCUUAUACUAUCUACAUUUUUAAUGUAGAAUACUGUUUAGUAUGCCGUUUUAUUAUUUUAAUCAAUGCCGCAGUGUAAAUAAUUGUUACACCAUGUGUUAUACUAUAAAAAAAAUUCAGUGAAGAUGGUAGGUCA
rnacentral:lncRNA from 1 species